GUUGAUCCUGCGGGAGGUUGCUGCUAUUAGGAUUCGACUAAGCCAUGCGAGUCUGAUGUUUAUUCAUCGGCGGAAUGCUCAGUAACACGUCGAUAAUCUGCCCUAUGGUCAUUGAUAACUUCGGGAAACUGAGGGUAAACAAUGAUAGAGGAAUUCACCUGGAAUGGUUUUUCCUUUAAACUCGUGCCAUAGGAUGAGUCGGCGGUCGAUUAGGUUGUUGGUGGUGUAAUGGACCACCAAGCCGACGAUCGAUACGGGCCUUGAGAGAGGUAGCCCGGAGAGGGACACUGAGAAACUGGUCCCAGCCCUACGGGGUGCAGCAGGCGCGGAACCUUUACAAUGCACGCAAGUGUGAUAAGGGGACCUAAGUGCUCAUGCAAUGCAUGGGCUUUUGCCAAGAGUAAAUAUCUUGGAGAAUAAGUGGUGGGUAAGACUGGUGCCAGCCGCCGCGGUAACACCAGCGCCACGAGUGGCAACCACGUUUAUUGGGCCUAAAGCGUCCGUAGCCGGUUUGGUAAAUCUUUUGUGAAAUCGUCGGACUCAAUUCGACGGCGCGCUUGAGACACUACCAAACUCGAGACCGGGAGGAGUCAAAAGUAUUCCGGGGGGAGCGGUAAAAUGUGAUAAUCCUCGGAGGACUACCUAUGGCGAAGGCAUUUGACCAGAACGGAUCUGACGGUGAGGGACGAAGGCCAGGGGAGCGAUCCGGAUUAGAUACCCGAGUAGUCCUGGCAGUAAACGCUGCGAGCAAGAUGUUGCAUUUCUUAAGAGGAUGUGCAGUGUAGCGAAGGCAUUAAGCUCGCCGCCUGGGAAGUACGGUCGCAAGACUGAAACUUUAAGGAAUUGGCGGGGGAGCACCACCAGGGGUGCGGCGUGCGGUUUAAUCUAACUCCACGCAGAAAACCUUACUAGAAGCGACGGCAGGAAGAAGGUCAGUCUGAAGGGCUUACCUGACGAGCCGAGAGGUAGUGCAUGGCCGCCGUCAGCUCGUGCCGUAAGGUGUCCAGUUAAGUCUGGCAACGAGCGAGACCUAUACUCACUAUUGCUAACAGCUACAUGUAGGACUGAGCACUUUGUGAGAACUGCCUUGGAAACAAGGAGGAAGGUGUAGGCAACGGUAGGUCUGUAUGCUCCGAAUCUUCUAGGCUACACGCGCGCAACAUUGGUAAUGACAAUGGGCUGCAACUCCGAAAGGAGACGCUAAUCCUCAAAACAUUACCUUGGUUCGGAUCGCGGAUUGUAACUCAUCCGCGUGACGCCGGAAUCCCUAGUAAUCAGAGUUCAUCAUACUCUGGUGAAUAUGUCCCUGCUCCUUGCACACACCGCCCGACAAACCAACCGAGCAGGAGUUUGGUAAAAUUUAUUUUAAUUGAAUAAAUUGAACCUGACUUCAGUGAGGCGGGUUAAGUCGUCACAAGGUA
rnacentral:rRNA from 1 species